GUAUGUCAGUUGCUAUCAUGGAUGUGUGUGUGUAUGGUUUUGUCACUUGAUUCCUUGUGAGCGUGUUGUCUGAGUGUGUUGCCUCCUUUCAGGGGAGUGUCUAGCUAAUCGUGAUGUUAUUUUGUAUAUUUUGAUUAUCUGUCGGGUUCGUAUAUUUGUGCUUUUGUUCGUCCCAUAUGUUCCACGCUUCGAGCCAAUAGGGCUUUCCUUGUUUUGAUUUCCUUGCCAUGAGUUCGUACGUUUUGUUGCAUUCUAUUACUUCUUUGCAUUGGUUGAUUGUGGG